rnacentral:rRNA from 1 species
ACGAACGCUGGCGGCGUGCUUAACACAUGCAAGUCUACGAGAAAGUUUCUUUCGGGAAGCAAUUAAAGUGGCGCACGGGUGAGUAACACGUAAGUAAUCUACCUUUAGGUUUGGAAUAACUCCGAGAAAUCGGGGCUAAUACCAAAUGAUGCAGCAAUACCAUAUGGUAAUGCUGUUAAAGUCUACAUGGCGCCUAGAGACGAGCUUGCGUCUGAUUAGCUUGUUGGUAAGGUAACGGCUUACCAAGGCAACGAUCAGUAGCUGGUCUGAGAGGAUGAUCAGCCACACUGGAACUGAGACACGGUCCAGACUCCUACGGGAGGCAGCAGUGAGGAAUAUUGGGCAAUGGGCGAAAGCCUGACCCAGCAACGCCGCGUGGAGGAUGAAUGUCGUAAGAUUGUAAACUCCUGUUAGAGGGGAAGAAUAAUCCCGAUCAACUCGGGACAUGACUGUACCCUCAGAGAAAGCUCCGGCUAACUACGUG